rnacentral:rRNA from 1 species
UAUUGGACAAUGGGCGCAAGCCUGAUCCAGCCAUGCCGCGUGAAGGAUUAAGGUCCUCUGGAUUGUAAACUUCUUUUAUAAGGGACGAAAAAAGGGAAUUCUUUCUCACUUGACGGUACCUUAUGAAUAAGCACCGGCUAACUCCGUGCCAGCAGCCGCGGUAAUACGGAGGGUGCAAGCGUUAUCCGGAUUCACUGGGUUUAAAGGGUGCGUAGGCGGGUAUUUAAGUCAGUGGUGAAAUCCUAGAGCUUAACCCUAGAACUGCCAUUGAUACUAUUUAUCUUGAAUAUUGUGGAGGUAAGCGGAAUAUGUCAUGUAGCGGUGAAAUGCUUAGAUAUGACAUAGAACACCUAUUGCGAAGGCAGCUUACUACGCAUAUAUUGACGCUGAGGCACGAAAGCGUGGGGAUCAAACAG